UACGGGGGGGGCUAGUGUUACUCAUCAUUACUGGGCGUAAAGCGUGCGCAGGCGGUUCGUUGUGUCGGCGGUGAAAGCCCCGGGCUCAACCUGGGAAUGGCCGUUGAAACUGGCGAACUGGAGUGUGGCAGAGGGGGGUGGAAUUCCGCGUGUAGCAGUGAAAUGCGUAGAGAUGCGGAGGAACACCGAUGGCGAAGGCAGCCCCCUGGGCUGACACUGACGCUCAGGCACGAAAGCGUGGGGAGCAAACAGG
rnacentral:rRNA from 1 species